rnacentral:rRNA from 1 species
UGGGGAAUUUUGCACAAUGGGGGAAACCCUGAUGCAGCGACGCCGCGUGAUUUAGAAGGCCUUCGGGUUGUAAAAAUCUUUUCUAUGGGAAGAAAAUGACAGUACCAUAGGAAUAAGGACCGGCUAAUUACGUGCCAGCAGCCGCGGUAAUACGUAAGGUCCGAGCGUUGUCCGGAAUCAUUGGGCGUAAAGGGUACGUAGGCGGGUAAGCAAGUUAGAAGUGAAAUCCUAUAGCCCAACUAUAGUAAGCUUUUAAAACUGCUCAUCUUGAGGUAUGGAAGGGAAAGUGGAAUUCCUAGUGUAGCGGUGAGAUGCGCAGAGAUUAGGAGGAGUACCGGUGGCGAAGGCGACUUUCUGGCCAUAACCUGACGCUGAGGUACGAAAGCGUGGGUAGCAAACAGG